rnacentral:rRNA from 1 species
UACGAAGGGGGCUAGCGUUGUUCGGAUUUACUGGGCGUAAAGCGCACGUAGGCGGAUUGUUAAGUUGGGGGUGAAAUCCCAGGGCUCAACCCUGGAACUGCCUUCAAUACUGGCAAUCUAGAGUCCGGAAGAGGUGAGUGGAACUCCUAGUGUAGAGGUGGAAUUCGUAGAUAUUAGGAAGAACACCAGUGGCGAAGGCGGCUCACUGGUCCGGUACUGACGCUGAGGUGCGAAAGCGUGGGGAGCAAACAGGG